rnacentral:rRNA from 1 species
GACGUGCUAAUCUGCGAUAAGCGUCGGUAAGGUGAUAUGAACCGUUAUAACCGGCGAUUUCCGAAUGGGGAAACCCAGUGUGAUUCGUCACACUAUCAUUAACUGAAUCCAUAGGUUAAUGAGGCGAACCGGGGGAACUGAAACAUCUAAGUACCCCGAGGAAAAGAAAUCAACCGAGAUUCCCCCAGUAGCGGCGAGCGAACGGGGAGCAGCCCAGAGCCUGAAUCAGUGUGUGUGUUAGUGGAAGCGUCUGGAAAGGCGUGCGAUACAGGGUGACAGCCCCGUACACAAAAAUGCACAUAUUGUGAGCUCGAUGAGUAGGGCGGGACACGUGGUAUCCUGUCUGAAUAUGGGGGGACCAUCCUCCAAGGCUAAAUACUCCUGACUGACCGAUAGUGAACCAGUACCGUGAGGGAAAGGCGAAAAGAACCCCGGCGAGGGGAGUGAAAAAGAACCUGAAACCGUGUACGUACAAGCAGUGGGAGCACGCUUAGGCGUGUGACUGCGUACCUUUUGUAUAAUGGGUCAGCGACUUAUAUUCUGUAGCAAGGUUAACCGAAUAGGGGAGCCGAAGGGAAACCGAGUCUUAACUGGGCGUUAAGUUGCAGGGUAUAGACCCGAAACCCGGUGAUCUAGCCAUGGGCAGGUUGAAGGUUGGGUAACACUAACUGGAGGACCGAACCGACUAAUGUUGAAAAAUUAGCGGAUGACUUGUGGCUGGGGGUGAAAGGCCAAUCAAACCGGGAGAUAGCUGGUUCUCCCCGAAAGCUAUUUAGGUAGCGCCUCGUGAAUUCAUCUCCGGGGGUAGAGCACUGUUUCGGCAAGGGGGUCAUCCCGACUUACCAACCCGAUGCAAACUGCGAAUACCGGAGAAUGUUAUCACGGGAGACACACGGCGGGUGCUAACGUCCGUCGUGAAGAGGGAAACAACCCAGACCGCCAGCUAAGGUCCCAAAGUCAUGGUUAAGUGGGAAACGAUGUGGGAAGGCCCAGACAGCCAGGAUGUUGGCUUAGAAGCAGCCAUCAUUUAAAGAAAGCGUAAUAGCUCACUGGUCGAGUCGGCCUGCGCGGAAGAUGUAACGGGGCUAAACCAUGCACCGAAGCUGCGGCAGCGACGCUGAUGCGUUGUUGGGUAGGGGAGCGUUCUGUAAGCCUGCGAAGGUGUGCUGUGAGGCAUGCUGGAGGUAUCAGAAGUGCGAAUGCUGACAUAAGUAACGAUAAAGCGGGUGAAAAGCCCGCUCGCCGGAAGACCAAGGGUUCCUGUCCAACGUUAAUCGGGGCAGGGUGAGUCGACCCCUAAGGCGAGGCCGAAAGGCGUAGUCGAUGGGAAACAGGUUAAUAUUCCUGUACUUGGUGUUACUGCGAAGGGGGGACGGAGAAGGCUAUGUUGGCCGGGCGACGGUUGUCCCGGUUUAAGCGUGUAGGCUGGUUUUCCAGGCAAAUCCGGAAAAUCAAGGCUGAGGCGUGAUGACGAGGCACUACGGUGCUGAAGCAACAAAUGCCCUGCUUCCAGGAAAAGCCUCUAAGCAUCAGGUAACAUCAAAUCGUACCCCAAACCGACACAGGUGGUCAGGUAGAGAAUACCAAGGCGCUUGAGAGAACUCGGGUGAAGGAACUAGGCAAAAUGGUGCCGUAACUUCGGGAGAAGGCACGCUGAUAUGUAGGUGAAGUCCCUCGCGGAUGGAGCUGAAAUCAGUCGAAGAUACCAGCUGGCUGCAACUGUUUAUUAAAAACACAGCACUGUGCAAACACGAAAGUGGACGUAUACGGUGUGACGCCUGCCCGGUGCCGGAAGGUUAAUUGAUGGGGUCAGCGCAAGCGAAGCUCUUGAUCGAAGCCCCGGUAAACGGCGGCCGUAACUAUAACGGUCCUAAGGUAGCGAAAUUCCUUGUCGGGUAAGUUCCGACCUGCACGAAUGGCG